rnacentral:lncRNA from 1 species
AACCUAAUAGCAUAAAUUUGAAAUAACAAAAAUAAUGGAGAAGCAUAAAAAUAUUAAAGAACGUUAAAAGUGUUAUUGCUUGGUUUGGCAGGUGGAAUGUUGAAUGGAAUUUGGAUGAGAAUCAGAACAUUGGCUCCCAAAAUACACUUCGUUGGAAUCUAAGUUUCCGUUCCGGGUGGGAAAAUGCUCAGAAUCCCGUCCAACUUUCCAUCCGCCAAACCAAGCCUUAUAUAUACCUUCUCAAAGUUAAGAGAUAUACAUAGAAUCCCCUCCUACAAUCACUCGUAAAAGUUAUGGGUACUUAAAUCUACCCGUUCUCUCAAUCAAAUCAUUCUAUGCAGUCUAUUUAUUUCA